rnacentral:misc_RNA from 1 species
GGAAGGAUCAUUAGCGUUGAAUGGUUGUUGCCAUUUCGUAAAAAUGUGGAUCGUCUCUGUUGCUGGAUACCGGGAUGGAACGCCCUCGUGGUGGUUCUUGUCUUUCACGAAUUGGAUCAAAACGGUGGCUAAAGUCGAAUUGGUUUCAUAACCUACAAACAAUAUAUACAACUCUUAGCAAUGGAUAUCUUGGUUCCCACAACGAUGAAGAACGCAGCGAAAUGCGAUACGUAAUGCGAAUUGCAGAAUUCAGUGAAUCAUCGAAUCUUUGAACGCAAGUUGCGCUUUCGAGAGCCCUCGGAAGCAUGCCUC